AUUGAACGCUGGCGGCAGGCCUAACACAUGCAAGUCGAACGAGACGGGGAAGGGAGACCUAUGUCUGGGACAGUGCCUGAGGGAGGGGGAUAACUACCGGAAACUGAUGCUAAUAACGCAUACCAGAACAUGUGCCCAGUUGGGAGUAGGUUGGUGGUGGGGUAACGGCUCACCAAGGCGACGAUCCAUAGCUGGUCGGAGAGGAUGACCAGCCACACUGGAACUGAGACACGGUCCAGACUCCUACGGGAGGCAGCAGUGGGGAAUAUUGGACAAUGGGCGAAAGCCUGAUGCAGCCAUGCCGCGUGUGUGAAGAAGGCCUUCGGGUUGUAAAGUACUUUCAGCGGGGAGGCGUUACCAGCAGAAUAAGCACCGGCUAACUCCGUGCCAGCAGCCGCGGUAAUUC
rnacentral:rRNA from 1 species